rnacentral:rRNA from 1 species
CCUACGGGUGGCAGCAGUGAGGAAUAUUGGUCAAUGGACGAGAGUCUGAACCAGCCAAGUAGCGUGAAGGAUGACUGCCCUAUGGGUUGUAAACUUCUUUUAUAUGGGAAUAAAACAGGGUAUGCAUACCCUCUUGUAUGUACCAUAUGAAUAAGGAUCGGCUAACUCCGUGCCAGCAGCCGCGGUAAUACGGAGGAUCCGAGCGUUAUCCGGAUUUAUUGGGUUUAACGGGAGCGGAGGUGGAUUGUUAAGUCAGUUGUGAAAGUUUGUGGCUCAACCGUAGAAUUGCAGUUGAAACUGGCAGUCUAGAGUACAGUAGAGGUGGGCGGAAUGCGUGGUGUAGCGGUGAAAUGCUUAGAUAUCACGAAGAACUCCGAUUGCGAAGGCAGCUCACUGGACUGCAACUGACGCUGAUGCACGAAAGUGUGGGUAGCAAACAGGAUUAGAUACCCGAGUAGUC